rnacentral:rRNA from 1 species
UACGUAGGGUGCAAGCGUUAAUCGGAAUUACUGGGCGUAAAGCGUGCGCAGGCGGCUUUGCAAGACAGAUGUGAAAUCCCGGGGCUCAACCUGGGAAUGGCGAUGGAGACUGCAAGGCUUGAAUCUGGCAGAGGGGGGUAGAAUUCCACGUGUAGCAGUGAAAUGCGUAGAGAUGUGGAGGAACACCGAUGGCGAAGGCAGCCCCCUGGGUCAAGAUUGACGCUCAUGCACGAAAGCGUGGGGAGCAAACAGG